AACGAACGCUGGCGGCAUGCCUAACACAUGCAAGUCGAACGAAGCCUUCGGGCUUAGUGGCGCACGGGUGCGUAACGCGUGGGAAUCUGCCCUUGGGCUCGGAAUAACAGUUAGAAAUGACUGCUAAUACCGGAUGAUGUCUUCGGACCAAAGAUUUAUCGCCCAAGGAUGAGCCCGCGUAGGAUUAGGUAGUUGGUGGGGUAAUGGCCCACCAAGCCGACGAUCCGUAGCUGGUCCGAGAGGAUGAUCAGCCACACUGGGACUGAGACACGGCCCAGACUCCUACGGGAGGCAGCAGUGGGGAAUAUUGGACAAUGGGCGAAAGCCUGAUCCAGCAAUGCCGCGUGAGUGAUGAAGGCCUUAGGGUUGUAAAGCUCUUUUACCAGGGAUGAUAAUGACAGUACCUGGAGAAUAAGCUCCGGCUAACUCCGUGCCAGCCGCCGCCGUAAGAC
rnacentral:rRNA from 1 species